UACGGGGGGGGCAAGCGUUGUUCGGAAUUACUGGGCGUAAAGGGCUCGUAGGCGGCCAACUAAGUCAGACGUGAAAUCCCUCGGCUCAACCGGGGAACUGCAUCUGAUACUGGAUGGCUUGAGAUUGGGAGAGGGAUGCGGAAUUCCAGGUGUAGCGGUGAAAUGCGUAGAUAUCUGGAGGAACACCGGUGGCGAAGGCGGCAUCCUGGACCAACACUGACGCUGAGGAGCGAAAGCCAGGGGAGCAAACAGG
rnacentral:rRNA from 1 species